GACGAACGCUGGCGGCGUGCUUAACACAUGCAAGUCGAACGGUAAGGCUCCAGCUUGCUGGGGUACACGAGUGGCGAACGGGUGAGUAACACGUGGGUGACCUGCCCUGCACUUCGGGAUAAGCCUGGGAAACUGGGUCUAAUACCGGAUAGGACCGCACCGUGAGGGUGUGGUGGAAAGUUUUUUCGGUGUGGGAUGGGCCCGCGGCCUAUCAGCUUGUUGGUGGGGUAAUGGCCUACCAAGGCGGCGACGGGUAGCCGGCCUGAGAGGGUGGACGGCCACAUUGGGACUGAGACACGGCCCAGACUCCUACGGGAGGCAGCAGUGGGGAAUAUUGCACAAUGGGCGGAAGCCUGAUGCAGCGACGCCGCGUGGGGGAUGACGGCCUUCGGGUUGUAAACUCCUUUCACCAUCGACGAAGGGUUUCUGACGGUAGAUGGAGAAGAAGCACCGGCUAACUACGUGCCAGCAGCCGCGGUAAUGCGUAGGGUGCGAGCGUUGUCCGGAAUUACUGGGCGUAAAGAGCUCGUAGGUGGUUUGUCGCGUCGUCUGUGAAAUUCCGGGGCUUAACUCCGGGCGUGCAGGCGAUACGGGCAUAACUUGAGUACUGUAGGGGAGACUGGAAUUCCUGGUGUAGCGGUGAAAUGCGCAGAUAUCAGGAGGAACACCGGUGGCGAAGGCGGGUCUCUGGGCAGUAACUGACGCUGAGGAGCGAAAGCAUGGGGAGCGAACAGGAUUAGAUACCCUGGUAGUCCAUGCCGUAAACGGUGGGCGCUAGGUGUGGGUUUCCUUCCACGGGAUCCGUGCCGUAGCUAACGCAUUAAGCGCCCCGCCUGGGGAGUACGGCCGCAAGGCUAAAACUCAAAGGAAUUGACGGGGGCCCGCACAAGCGGCGGAGCAUGUGGAUUAAUUCGAUGCAACGCGAAGAACCUUACCUGGGCUUGACAUAUACAGGAUCGCGCCAGAGAUGGUGUUUCCCUUGUGGCUUGUAUACAGGUGGUGCAUGGUUGUCGUCAGCUCGUGUCGUGAGAUGUUGGGUUAAGUCCCGCAACGAGCGCAACCCUUGUCUUAUGUUGCCAGCACGUUGUGGUGGGGACUCGUAAGAAACUGCCGGGGUUAACUCGGAGGAAGGUGGGGAUGACGUCAAAUCAUCAUGCCCCUUAUGUCCAGGGCUUCACACAUGCUACAAUGGUCGGUACAGUGGGUUGCCAGUCCGUGAGGGCGAGCUAAUCCCGCAAAGCCGGUCUCAGUUCGGAUCGGGGUCUGCAACUCGACCCCGUGAAGUCGGAGUCGCUAGUAAUCGCAGAUCAGCAACGCUGCGGUGAAUACGUUCCCGGGCCU
rnacentral:rRNA from 1 species